AGGUCUAAAGAGAGAAGCAGGGUCUGACCCGUAGCCUCUGUGGCAGCUGUUGCUCAGCACUUGCCUCUCUCUUUAACUCCU
rfam:Myotis brandtii contig263528, whole genome shotgun sequence.